rnacentral:rRNA from 1 species
CCUACGGGUGGCAGCAGUGGGGAAUAUUGGACAAUGGGCGAAAGCCUGAUCCAGCCAUGCCGCGUGUGUGAAGAAGGCCUUCGGGUUGUAAAGCACUUUCAGUGGGGAAGAAAGCCUUGGGGCUAAUACCCUCGAGGAAGGACAUCACCCACAGAAGAAGCACCGGCUAACUCCGUGCCAGCAGCCGCGGUAAUACGGAGGGUGCGAGCGUUAAUCGGAAUUACUGGGCGUAAAGCGCGCGUAGGCGGUCUGAUAAGCCGGUUGUGAAAGCCCCGGGCUCAACCUGGGAACGGCAUCCGGAACUGUCAGGCUAGAGUGCAGGAGAGGAAGGUAGAAGUCCCGGUGUAGCGGUGAAAUGCGUAGAGAUCGGGAGGAAUACCAGUGGCGAAGGCGGCCUUCUGGACUGACACUGACGCUGAGGUGCGAAAGCGUGGGUAGCAAACAGGAUUAGAUACCCGGGUAGUC